UUGGAGGGCAAGUCUGGUGCCAGCAGCCGCGGUAAUUCCAGCUCCAAUAGCGUAUAUUAAAGUUGUUGCAGUUAAAAAGCUCGUAGUUGAAUUUCGGGGUCAGUAGGUUGGUCGUGCCACUGGUAUGCACUGGCCUUACUGAUUCCUCCUUCUUGAAGAACUGUGAUGUCAUUUACUUGGUGUUGCAGGGAAACAGGACUGUUACUUUGAAAAAAUUAGAGUGUUUAAAGCAGGC
rnacentral:rRNA from 1 species